AUGUGAGUAAUUGCUGGUGUUUCACAUCAGCAAGGCAUUGCCUCUAUAACUUAGAAAGCUCUUUCUGCUGACACUAGUAAUUUUUUGAGGAAAUACUGUUUUUCUCCUCUGUAUGCUCUCAGAUGCUGCUCUGCUUUUGAAAGAAGUGAAUGACUCACAUCAAAUUGCCUUUUGUAGCUGGUCUGAGAUCUGGAAACUUCACAGUGACCAUUCCACCUUCUACUUAGGAAUGAGAAACUAGACGAGUUCCUCAUGGCCCUGAUCUUCCACCUGCCUUUUCACCUGGGAAAAAUUGCCCUGGAAUUACCUGGAAAAGGAAUGCAGAUCCUUGAUUUUGUGAGUACAUUAGGGCUAUAAGUACACAGAGCUUGCCUCAGCAAAUCUGGAAUCAUAGAUCCAGAUAGAUCCAUAGAUCUUUUGGGUUAGAAUCAGUGGGACUCUGCUUGUGAGGACCUGCUGGCUAUGUUGGGAUAUAUGGGAUACUACAGAAACCCCUUGGUCUCACAUUUCAUGUCUCCCAUCUCCCUGUCCUCUGUGCUCUCCAGGGUAUAGGCUCCUCUGGCUGGGGAGAGGCAGAUUUUCUGGCAGGGUUUGAGCCAUGCUUUGCCUCAGCCCUUCCCUGAGUUCUGAGCUCUGUUGUCCACGUGCCACAGCAUCACCACAGUCUCCUGCUCAGUGUGCUGGCAGGGUCCAGUCCUGCUGCAAUGGGGCCACCAAAUAAUCUGGGUCCACAAGGUGAUUGGGAUAAUAAUUUCUGUUACCACUCAUGUUAAAUCUGUGUCAGUCCUCUGGACCAAAUGACCCUCCCUUAAUGCGCUUUCCCAGUAUUAACACUAGCAUCCAGACAUUUCUGCCUGCACAACUGAGCAGCAAAUAGUCACAACUGAGUCUGCUGUGAGUUAAUUUGUUCUGUGGGUGACACUGCUUUAAGACUUCAUUUCUAAAUACUUUGCAAAGCAGGUUCUGAUGACUCUUGGGUGCUAGAAACAUGUUCCAGCAUGAGGAAUAAGUGCUAGGAAAGCAGUUCCCAA
rnacentral:lncRNA from 1 species